rnacentral:rRNA from 1 species
UACGUAGGGGGCUAGCGUUGUCCGGAAUCAUUGGGCGUAAAGAGCGUGUAGGCGCCAGAAAAGUCCGCUGUGAAAACUCGAGGCUCAACUUCGAGCUGUCGGUGGAAACUUUCUGGCUAGAGUCCGGAAGAGGAGAAUGGAAUUCCUGGUGUAGCGGUGAAAUGCGCAGAUAUCAGGAAGAACACCCGUGGCGAAGGCGGUUCUCUGGGACGGUACUGACGCUGGAGACGCGAAAGCCGUUGGGGGAGCGAACAGG